GCACUUCGUCGUUAAGGAACCGUUGAAAU
rnacentral:sRNA from 1 species